CGGCCGCGCCACAUUGAAACAUUGGUUCCCGUACGAUCACCGACUUUAAGCAACGUCGAGCCUGGUCAGAACCUAGAUAGGUGACCACUUAGGAGUACCAUGUGCUGUAAG